CUCAUGACGUUUUUAGUAACUUCAGGUCACUGCAACAGGCCCAGGUGCAGUUCACGGACGGAUGGGUACAGGACCUAGAAAUGCACCGUGUUGAGCACAAGACCAUCGUACGCACAACGACCACAUUUGGUUACUACCAUCCACCCAUCAAUACACCAAAUCCCCUGUACACGUAUAGUGACUCAGAGGAUGAGCAGCCC